rnacentral:lncRNA from 1 species
AAAAAAAAAUCUGCAACAAGCAAAUUGUUUCUGAAACUCGACCGUUGUUUCAGGAAUUAACGGAUCCAAAGUUUAUUUCUUGCAACAAAGCGAAAGUUUCUGCAACUCGAGCGUCGUUUCAGGAAUUAAGUACAGGAGCGGAUCGGACGGAGCGGAUCGGACGCUACGCGCGAGAUCUAACGGCUGUCGAGGUGGUGGAUGUUUAAUAAAUAUCCACCGAUAGAUGCGUAGCAGCCCCC